UCCUGGUGGCUUAGAUGGUAAAGACUCUGCCUGUAAUGCAGGAGACCUGGGUUCAAUCCCUAGGUCAGGAA
rnacentral:tRNA from 1 species